UCUAGAGGAAGUAAAAGUCGUAACAAGGUUUCCGUAGGUGAACCUGCGGAAGGAUCAUUAAUGAAAUUCAAGGACGCUCUUUUUAGAGGUCCGACCAAUUACAUUUACCUUUACUCUGUGCACACACUACUCUUUACACCAUUUUUAGCUCUAUAGUUUUAAGAAUGUAAAACAAGUCUCGAAAGAGCAACAUAACAAAACAAAACUUUCGGGAACGGAUCUCUUGGGUCUCGCAUCGAUGAAGAACGCAGCGAAAUGCGAUACGUAAUGUGAAUUGCAGAAUUCAGUGAAUCAUCGAAUCUUUGAACGCACCUUGCACUCUUUGGUAUUCCGAAGAGUAUGUCUGUUUGAGUGUCAUGAAACUCUCAACCCCCUCAUUUUGUAAUGAAGUGAGUCGUGGGGUUGGAUUAUGGGUGUCUGUCGGGUUAAGUGCCGGGUCAGCUGAAAUACACGAGUAACCCAGUUUGAAAAACUGACGGGUUGACUCGGGGUAAUAAUUAUUAUCGCUGAGGACGUCUAACCUUCAAAUCGUUAGUGGUGCUUCUAAUGCAAAUCAUUUUAAGAUUUAGACCUCAAAUCAGUCAGGAUUACCCGCUGAACUUAAGCAUA
rnacentral:rRNA from 1 species